UUACGGCCAUGUCACCUUGAAACAUUGGUUCCUGUAUGAUCUCAAAGUUAAGCAACGUUGAGACUGGUCAGUACCUAGAUGGGUGACAACUUGGGAAUACCAGGUGCUGUAA